rnacentral:lncRNA from 1 species
CCACUUCUUCUCCUUUGCUUCAAGUUCCCCCUUGUAUUUUAUAACCUCGGCCUCCCUGUGAAGCAGGAGGGCUGCAAACAAACCUCUGGAACACUGAGCCGGGAAGGAAGUGGUAAUUUUAAUCGGCCGGGAGCUGCAGCAGCACAGAUGCCAAAACCACCAAGCUCCCCGACUAGAAAAUCCUGUCCUCUUUUAAAGGCUCACAGUCUUAGAGGUUACAUGCGGGAGGGUCGUGAUCGAAGAGGCUGGAGUGCAGUGGUGCCAUCAUAGCUCACCGCAACGUCGACCUCGUGGGUUCAAGUGAUCCUCCCACCUUAGCCUCUCGAGUAGCUGGGACUACAAGUAUGUACCAACACACCCAACUAAGUUUUGUAUUUUUUGUAGAGACAGGGCUGCCAUGUUGACCUUUGGUUGAUAAUGAAUCAACCAAAGCUUCAACAGGCAAAUGGUAAUUCAAAUUUGAGUGCAAAGCCAAUCCUGUGCCUCUUCCCUUUACAAAAUUGUGUCUUCUUUCCAUUCUCAUCAUACGUUCAGCAAAUAUUUGUGUAAUAUCUACCACGAUAGACUAAGAAAACAGUGUAAGCACAUUUCAUUCAGUCGCCACUUCAAGCAGGAAUAGCCUAGUGUUCAAGCCUGCUGUCUUUAUAUUAAUACUGUCGGAUUUCAAAUUUCAGCAUCUGUAUAGAUACAGCCCAGAACAAAGUUAAUGUAAUGGCUCUGCGGUAAUAAAUGCAGCAUGGGAGUCCCGGUCACAUAGAGUAGUUGAAAUAAAGAAGUGAAGUUAUAUAGUGCCCAUCCCAUAGUAAGUGUUCAAUCAAUGUCGGCAACAAAUAUUGUUAUAAAACUGCUAUAGGACCGUCACACUUGGUAUGAUUAUGUUAACUACAUGUGUGAAUUUAGAGGCAUCAAUAUAGAUGGCGACUGUGCCGGGUGUAGCAUCUCGUAAUGAUGAAAAGCGUUUGUGACUAGCCAGAAAGUGGUUCGUUACCCUAACAGGCACUGUGGUGUUGGCUAAAUGAACAGCAACAACAGAAGACAUUUCUCAAAGUAGUUCCAGGUAAGUUGCACGUCACCCGAUUCUGUGACUGUCCAUCCCAUUGGUAUUCUGAUUUCUUUUUUUCAAGGACCUUUCCUGAAAAAUACUGUUGAUGUCAUCAUUUUGACAAAGGCUUGUUGACGUAUUAUGAAAACUGGCAUAAUUGCAAUUUACUCUUGUAAUUAAGAUUGAAACUAUAAAAGGCAAAUAUAACUUGUUCUCAUUCUUUGGUUUAUGGCAAUAAAUCCCCUAAUGGAGCUUAGACAUGGUUUUCUCUUCUAACUGUUUUCACUUCCUGGUAAAGGACUAUUCUUUGAAGCUGACAUUUCUUGUCCCUGAUCUAUAAACAAGGGUUAAUACGUAUAUUAAAAUGUAGAGAAAACAUUCACAUUUUCUCCUGGAAUUAAAGGUUAAGAAGUUCAAGUUUUAGACAAAUGUUUGGAGACGAAUUAUAGGUAGCUACAGGCAAGACAUACUGUCAAAUAAACACCUUCAGAUAAAUGUGGAAAAGGCUAAAUGUUUCCAACAUGAAUUUUUAAAUAUACUUAGAACAUAAUUGGUUAGAUGCUGAUCAGAAUGAAGAAUCUAAUUAGCAGUAAGGGGAGGAGUCUAUCUACAAAAGCAUAAGAAAUAUUUUAAACUUAGAAAUCAAAGCCUUCUGGAGUUUCUUGGUCAAACUCCCUCCUGUUCAUUU